AGACAAUACACACAAAAGUUAGAUCUCUACUGUUAGAAAAAAGUGAGCAACCUUACUGCAAGCUGCUAUUUGAUAGCGGUCACAAAUUGAAGUUACAAGAAAAACAACUUUAAUCACCAGAAAAAAGCUAACCACAAUCUUUUCCAUUACUUUAAGAAUUGUACUUAAGGAUUGUACUUUUAACAGAGAAUCGAUAAAAGGGGGAAAAAGCAGUAGUAAACCCCUAAGCCAAGGAGUGGAAUUUUGUUUUUGUUGAAUCUUUUGCUUCUGCUUCGACAAUUACAACUCAAAUUACUAUGAUUUUCUUUUCCCUCCAUCUCCAUUAUUCAUCCGACAAUUUCUUUUCCCAAUUUGUCUUCUUCUACUUCGUUCAAUCCCCAAAACCCUAAAAUCGACCUCUCAAACCCCAUCCUGUGGCUCCAAAUCCGCCCCUUUCUUUUUCAUUCUUUUCUUACCUGUUUUUGUGGAUCCAAAUCAUGUGCACUCUCUUCAUCUUUCUCUUUAAUGGGACCCCUUUUACCAUUUCCGAUCAUUAUCGACUAAUUUCUUACUCUCACCUCUAGCGACAAAUUUGAAUUCUAUACCAGAAUUCUGUAACGACCCCAUGUAAUGCAAUCAUGGGUUUUGGUUGAAGAUUAGUGUUCUUGGCUUUCAUCCUUUCGAAGUGAUUGUUCAUGCAGCGGAUUGAUUCGUGUAAUGGGUUACGGGAAAAAUGGUAGCUUGUUAAUGGCGAGUGGUAAGGAUUUUGGCAGGUGGAAGUCAGAGAUUGAAUGUUGGAUUCCAUGGCAAUUUCUCAUACAUCCCUUUUCUUGACUCUUAAUUUGUUCUGUUCUAUAUAAAGAAAGACAACUUUCUGGUCUAAAUUGUAGCUGUACUUAUGCCUUAUGAUGGACUUUGUUAUUUAAGAAUCACUCUUAAACUCUUCUCUUAUCUCUAUUUAUUGAACAGGUUGAACAAUGAACUUUCUCUAAUUGCCUGGGGAAAAUCAUUAAGCUAAAUAGGGAAUUACUGUUAAUGCUAAACAAAAUCCUCAGGCCUUUCAAUUAUUCUCUCUCUUAUUCCAGCAUUUGAUGAUAAAAUGUGAGUAUGGCUGUUGCUUGCAUAGUAUUGGUUUUGGCUUCAUGGUAUUUCCAAAAACACUAAUUCUUUAACGGUAAUACUAAUGAUAUUGGAGAGCUCUUGAAAUUGAUUUGGAGGUAAUAAUUUCGACCUUUCAAUUGAUAAUUAGGCUUUGAAAAUUGAAGGCAUUGUCCUACGUAAUUUUCCUGAGGAAGGGUAUGUUGACAAAUUGGUAUCUAUGUUAACGACCUCAUAGCGGUUGCAUGCCAAAAAUUAAUAUCUUCUCAGUUAAAAAUCGACGUUUGAACCUGGUUAGAAGAGCUUUAUUGAUUUUCUGAUGGACUCUGGUGAUGUCGAGCAAUCCUUGCUUCUUAAGUUGUUUGAUUCUGAUAAGAGGAAUUCUCUCCUGAGAAGGAAAUCUAAUCGACAUGGUAGUUUUUCACAUUCAGUAGAAAAUAAUAAACCACAAAAUUAUGAUGUAGCUCAUCAACGUGUUGCUGUUUCACAAAUUAGUUUUAGGAAAGUAUUUGUUCUUCUAGCGACUUAUUUAGGAGGAGGCACAUUUUGUUUUUUCCUUGUUCGGGAUCAGAUCACUGGAAAGAAAACAAAUGGGGUUGUCGAUUCCAUUUACUUUUGUGUUGUGACAAUGACCACCGUUGGGUAUGGUGAUCUUGUUCCUAAUAGCAUGGUUGCAAAACUACUUGCAUGUGUUUAUGUUUUCACUGGAAUGACUCUUGGUGGGAUGAUUCUUAGCAAGGCAGCGGAUUACAUUGUCGAAAAGCAGGAAAUUCUUCUGGUUAAGGCCAUGCGCAUGAGGAAAAAGAUCAGCUCCAGUGAGAUCCUUCAGGAAUCUGAGGAAAACAAAUUGAAAUACAAAUUCAUUAUGACUGGAAUCCUCCUUUGGGCUCUUAUCGUUGUUGGAACCCUUUUCUUGACUGUGGUUGAGAACCUAGAGUUCACAGAUGCCUUUUAUUGUGUUUGUUCCACAAUCACGACUCUCGGCUAUGGGGAUCAGAGCUUCUCUACUACAGCCGGUCGUGUUUUUGCUGUCAUUUGGAUAAUGAGCGGUACCAUCUGCUUAGCACAGUUUUUUCUGUACCUUGCAGAAUUACACACAGAAAGGAGACAAGACUCACUGAUUAAUUGGGUUCUCAACCGAAGCCUCACAUAUUCGGAUCUUGAAGAAGCAGACCUUGAUCAUGAUAAAGUAGUAAGUGCUGCAGAAUUUGUAAUAUAUAAACUAAAGGAAAUGGGGAAGAUCAAUCAGGAAGACGUUUCUCCCAUACUUGACACUUUUAAGAAGCUUGACAUUGAUCAAUCAGGAUGUCUAACAGAAGCUGAUAUAGUAAUCUCAUAGUCAUUGGCUUAAUAACGCCCAACUCUUAUCUGGCCCAUAACUCUUGUCGAGCAUUGGAUGAGAUUCCUCAAAAUUCUAUAAGCAGCUUCAAAAUGAGUUGGUCCAGAGGCAUGCAUAAACUGACUAACCAUGCUUACUGCAUACUCAAUAUCAAGGUCGUCCUGCAACAUAAUCUAGAAUUCCUUCACCAGCUCUCAUACCAUGAAUCUCGCUUCCGACUUGGAAACCACCUCCAAAGGCGGUCAUUACCACCAAGAGCACAGCUGUGGAGGCAAAGAGAGGCCAAAAGAAAGCUAGAAUACUUAGAAACCGAGGGGCUACAUAUACAAACAAUGACAGAACAACUGAAACUGCUGCUACAACAGUUAUUUGGUCUUUGUGUUGGAGAAGCUUUGCUUGGAUGUCCAUGGAGAAAGAGAAUGAGAGAAAUAUAGAGAAAAAAAGGAGGUUGCUAUGGGUGACGAUGGUUUCUCUGAGUCUCCCCUUUGGUAUUUAUAAGGAGAAAAAAAUAUUAUUGCAAUGCGCUGAUGAGAUUCAAAAGUUCUAAAACUUUGCUUGAUUGAUCAGCUUCUUAUUUUCAUUAUUUUGGAAAGUACGGGAAUACCCUGGGCUUGUACAGAUGGUGGGGGGAGUGGGAGUGGGAGUGGAAGGAGGGAUGGGGGUUAAUGAGUCAUUUAAAGACAGGAAGCAAAUGGAAACUUGGGGACAAGGGAUGCCUGUUCAGAUUGUUGUCCGUUUGCUUGAUUGGUCGGUUACUUUGUCCCUUUACAUUUGUGAUCACUUUUUAUUUUAUUUGUGUUAUGGAUUAUAUUGCACAUUGGAGGGUAUUAAUUCUUUUCUUUUUCUU